GCCCAGACUCCUACGGGAGGCAGCAGUGGGGAAUAUUGCACAAUGGGGGGAACCCUGAUGCAGCGACGCCGCGUGAAGGAAGAAGUAUUUCGGUAUGUAAACUUCUAUCAGCAGGGAAGAAAAUGACGGUACCUGACUAAGAAGCCCCGGCUAACUACGUGCCAGCAGCCGCGGUAAUACGUAGGGGGCAAGCGUUAUCCGGAUUUACUGGGUGUAAAGGGAGCGUAGGCGGCGAUGCAAGUCAGAAGUGAAAGACCGGGGCUCAACUCCGGGACUGCUUUUGAAACUGUGUUGCUAGAUUGCAGGAGAGGUAAGUGGAAGUCCUAGUGUAGCGGUGAAAUGCGUAGAUAUUAGGAGGAACACCAGUGGCGAAGGCGGCUUACUGGACCGUAAAUGACGCUGAGGCUCGAAAGCGUGGGGAGCAACCAGGAUUAGAUACCCUAGUAAUC
rnacentral:rRNA from 1 species